GACGAACGCUGGCGGCGUGCUUAACACAUGCGAGUCGAACGGAAAGGCCCUGCUUUUGUGGGGUGCUCGAGUGGCGAACGGGUGAGUAACACGUGAGUAACCUGCCCUUGACUUUGGGAUAACUUCAGGAAACUGGGGCUAAUACCGGAUAGGAGCUCCUGCUGCAUGGUGGGGGUUUGAAAGUUUCGGCGGUUGGGGAUGGACUCGCGGCUUAUCAGCUUGUUGGUGGGGUAGUGGCUUACCAAGGCUUUGACGGGUAGCCGGCCUGAGAGGGUGACCGGCCACAUUGGGACUGAGAUACGGCCCAGACUCCUACGGGAGGCAGCAGUGGGGAAUAUUGCACAAUGGGCGGAAGCCUGAUGCAGCAGCGCCGCGUGCGGGAUGACGGCCUUCGGGUUGUAAACCGCUUUCGCCUGUGACGAAGCGUGAGUGACGGUAAUGGGUAAAGAAGCACCGGCUAACUACGU
rnacentral:rRNA from 1 species